CGCAGAUGGCACUUCAUAGGUCUGUCAGAUAAGUCCGGCGUCCCGGUAAAGCUGAAACUAUGAAGUGUAAUGCGGCAGGCAGGUCCAAAGCCCUG
rnacentral:ribozyme from 1 species